UUUUGUUUUUUGGUUUUUUUGGUUUACUGAAGUUGCAUUAUUUUGGCCGAGACAGGCAUUGAACCUAAUUCAAUAGACUGUACAAUAUGAAAAAUAACUGUAGAUAAAGGAGAAAGGAAUAAAAUAUUACUGGAGGCAUACCCAUUGUUGUAUUUCCUGCAAACCUUCCCGCUUCUGCUGCUUCGGAGGAAUGCGCUCAGAAGGCUUCUUGGUGGGUGAAAUACUGUCUUCCUGGGUAGAAACAUUUACAAAGAAAAGUUGACAGCUUUAACAUCUCAGGGUGUCACAGUUUGUUGGGAUAGACGUACGGGAACGAGCCAGGUAAGCGAUUCCGUCUUCCCAGCAGCCGACCGAAAGCGUCUACAGGUAUUCACUGAAGGACUCGUUGAUUGUUGUCAUUCCUGGUCUCCAUGUAGACGGUGCUCCAGAGGGAUCAUUUUGUUGUGGUUACUUGGUGUUUGCCUCUUCAAGGAGAAUCGCAGAGAACAAUGGAGACUUUUGUUCCCCCUGCCAUGCCCAUUUGUUUUGAGACAGUGAGGUCACGGGUGCCAUUUUUACACAAAUGUAAUUGGAAGGGAGGAUAGGAAGCUUGUCACUUAAAAAAAGGGGGGGGGGGUGUUAAUGGCAGAUUCCAAAAAAAUAGCCACAUACCAGAUACAAAUUUUACCGUAGGUUUGCUAUCACAUAGUGCUUGGGUUGGAAAUACAUCCCUCACUCCUGCCAAAAAAUUUUUUUCCUUUCACGUAAAGAAGUGCUUCUGCUGUAACCACCCGGUUGAGAGAAAUUAUCCUUGGACUACAAGUUUAUGUCAAUGAGGGAUGGCGUGGGUUCGUAGAUCUCAGUAGUUUUAUAGUCCACUUGUUUUGCAGAUUCUCUCCCUAGUCUGGUGUUUGCUGUGCAGAGGGGAGCACAAAGUGAUCCUCUGAAACCGCAUUAAUGAAGUUCUUGUGCAUCUUAGUUGAGAAGCAUUCCAUCACAGGCCCCAGACAAUCAGUCUUCAGCAAGAGACGCGGAGGAACAGCUGGGCUCUCCGAGAAGACUGCUGUAUGUCUGCCUUUGCUAGGCGAUUAGCGUGAUGGUAGCCAUAGCAACUGGAGCAUCUCCAUAGUAACGCGUAGCCGAGACAGGUGCAGUUGCAUCACAAGGCUGUUUGUUGCCUGGCAAAAGGACAGGCCAUUAGUACUUAGAUAUACGCUGUUGCCUUAGGAACAAAUAACCCUACAUAGCAACUACAGUUGGUUUGAAAGAUUUGGUGGGGGGAAGAAAAGGUUGUAGCAGCUUUUGUCCGUGUUCAUAAAAAUCAGUGCAAGCAUACUUUAUUGGAAAUGACAACUUGAGGUCAUAUAGCUGUAGGAGAUAAAAUGGGAUUUUCCGAAGCAACCCAGCCAACAUUGUAGAAAUGUCCAGAAGGACAGAGCCAUAUGUUUGGUUUUUUUCCUCGUGGCUGUAGCUACUCCUGAAAUGGAAGGGAACCGGGAUCGGAGAAUUGCUGAUAUCCGAGGCAUAACAAUGCGGACAAACCAGAGCUUUUGUAAUGAAAAUAAUUUCCGAUCGAAUACUCCAGAUCCUGUUCUGUCACCUCCGGUUCCUUUUCUCCCAGGUGACUGAAGUUAAAGUUUCUGCAUCCACCCAUGCGGGCACUCAGAUGUCACCUCCAUAAAGGUCACUGGAGGUGGAGUGAGAUGGUGAAUCAGAUUCUAUCUAGACUGCCUCGUCUGUGUCUUAAGUCUGAGGACAAGUCACUUGCCCUUCAUCUCACGGCUUAGGUUUUGCUCCCGUCUCCUCUAGUGUGUGAAUUUGUACUAAACAUCCUCAGUACUGGA